CUCUCAUGCCCAGCGGCCGACGGCAACCAUCGGCCUUAUUUUGUCCCAAAAUGGGAGCCUGACCCAGCCAGAAGCCAAGCGGGAUGCCAGCAAUCGCAGAGGGAGAUUGUAUCUGGAUCAUUUUAGUAGGUCAUUGAGGGCCCUGUAGAGGAAGCCCCCAAGUAACAGUGACUGCAGGCCCCCCAAGGAGCAACUGCACGAUCCAGUGGCCAUCCUUCUUGGAAGUACAUACUCCGUGG
rnacentral:lncRNA from 1 species